UGAGAUCAUGCGCAUGGCAGCUUCUCUAGGAUAGCACCCUGCGUGAACACAGUAGCUGCUCAGUUAAGUCUUUGAUGGGUGUGAUCCUGAUUCAGCUUGAUCAAUUCUGCAGUCAUACUGGAUUGUGUUUGAAAAGGUGUCCAGAAAAACCUGGCCAUCUGCCUCCUGUCUUCCCAGGUAAGUGUUCCUGGUAUUGACCUC
rnacentral:lncRNA from 1 species